AGUUCUGUACUUUAACCAAAAGAUUUGAUUUGCAAUUAAACAUUGAGAAUUCACUCCAGAACUA
rnacentral:tRNA from 1 species